AUGUCCAAGAAAAAAAGCAACAGCGGCCUGCGCUUCCAGCCGGCCGGCGGCAAUCGCACCCCCCAGGUCCCAGUGGGCAAGAAGCAGCGCCUGGACAUCGAGCGCCUGGCCGGUGACGGCCGUGGCAUUGCCUUCCUCGACGGGCGUACCUGGUUCGUCAGCGGCGCCUUGGCCGGUGAGGCCGUGGAGGCGCGGGUGCUCAACGCCCGUGGCAAAGUGGUCGAGGCACGCCUGGAGCGGUUGCUGCAGGCCGCGCCCGAGCGCCGUGAGGCGCCAUGUCGCUACUACGACCGCUGCGGUGGCUGCAACCUGCAGCACCUGCCGCACGACGCGCAACUGGCGCUGAAGCAGCGCACCCUCGCCGAGCAGUUGCAGCGGGUGGCCGGCGUGCAACCCGAGGCGUGGGCUGCCCCCCUGAACGGGCCGGAAUUCGGCUACCGGCGCCGCGCCCGUGUGGCCGUGCGCUGGGACGUCAAGGCGCGUCAGCUGGAGGUGGGUUUCCGCGCCGAAGCCAGCCAGGACAUCAUUGCCAUCGACGAUUGUGCAGUGCUGGUACAACCCUUGCAGUCCAUUUUGCGCCACUUGCCGACGGUGCUGCGUUCGUUGAGCAAGCCGCAGGCGCUGGGCCAUGUAGAGCUGUUCAGUGGCACCGCCGAGGCGGUUCUGGUGCGCCACGUCGCGCCGUUGCCGGCCGAGGACCAGGCCAGGUUGCAAGCGUUCUGCGAGCAGGCCAACGCCCAGCUAUGGCUGCAAGGCGAAGGUGAGCCGGCGCCCGUGGACCCAGCGGCACGGUUGGGCUUCGCCCUGGCACCUUGGCAGCUGGAGCUGGCCUGGCGCCCGGGCGAUUUCGUGCAGGUGAAUGCCCAGGUCAAUACGGCGAUGAUCGAGCAGGCUUUGGCCUGGCUCGCGCCACAAGCCGACGAGCGUGUGCUGGACUUGUUCUGCGGUCUGGGCAACUUUGCCCUGCCGCUGGCCCGCCAGGCGCGUGAGGUGGUGGCAGUGGAAGGUGUACAGGCCAUGGUCGAUCGGGCCGCGGCCAAUGCCCGGAACAACAAUGUGCAUAACGCACGGUUUUUUCAGGCCGAUUUAUCGCAGCCUUUGGCAGGCACCGGAUGGGCCGCCGAGGGCUUUUCUGCGGUACUCUUGGAUCCACCGCGCGACGGUGCUUUCGAGGUGGUGCAAGGCAUCGCCUGCCUCAAGGCCAGCAGGCUGGUCUACGUAUCGUGCAACCCGGCCACGCUGGCGAGAGACGCCCAAGUGCUGGUCGGCCAGGGGUACCGGUUAAAAAGGGCCGGGAUUCUCGACAUGUUUCCUCAGACGGCGCAUGUCGAGGCCAUGGCGUUAUUCGAAGCGGGCUAG
rnacentral:rRNA from 1 species